CUGGGAUUCCCUUAGUAACGGCGAGCGAACAGGGAAGAGUCCAGCGCCGAAUUCCGACUUCCCUGGCGGGGUCGCGAAAAUGUGGCGUUUGGGAGAAUGCUUCUAGGAGGCCAAACGCAGGGUGCAAGUCCCCCUGACCGGGGCUGUCUAUCCAGAGCGGGUGCGAGACCCGUGGCACCCGCGUCGGGCCUCCAGACGCGACCUCCCCAGAGUCGGGUUGCUUGAGAGUGCAGCCCCAAGAGGGUGGUAAACUCCACCUAAGACUAAAUACGGCCGUGAGACCGAUAGCAAACAAGUACCGUGAGGGAAAGUUGCAAAGAACUUUGAAGAGAGAGUUCAAGAGUACGUGAAACUGCUCAGAGGCAAACGGGUGGGCCCUCGAAGUCCCGUUGCGGGCGGAUUCAGUGGGGAAGCUUCCGGCCUCCGUCGUCUGACUCGUCGGUUGAACUGCGGUGGAAACGAGGAGUCGGCUUCGGGUGGUCCGGUCGUGGCCCCACGCAUUUCCGCCCCUAAUAAGGACGCCGCAGCCGGUCGGAAAUAGUGUCGGCGAAGAGGUCGGACCGAUGGCAGGUCGCCGGCGAUCGCCGUAAAAAGGCGCUUCGUCGGUGGGUAGCCGGUUCGGACCCAAGCCCGGCAUCCGACCGAGGCUGUGCUUUCUCCUACUUCUAUAAUUUAUUUAGAAGUGCGGCCGGCCGGCAGACUGGUGCGCUGCUGCGACAUCGCCGUCAGGCUUUUUGCACUGGGCGUCUCGCAGGCAUCACCCAGAGUGUGCAAGGUCCCGCGAGGAGGAAUACGGCUGGCGGCGAGUAGGUCGGUCACCCACCCGACCCGUCUUGAAACACGGACCAAGGAGUCUAACAUGUGUGCGAGUCACGGGGUCUUGGACAGGCCCAGAGGCAGAAUGAAAGUGACUCUUAAUAAGUCGGGAUUCCUACGAGAGAGAGAGCGUAGGAAGCACCGACGGCCCGCCCGCGUCGAUUUUCGAGCGGGCGGAGUCCGAGCCCACACGUUGGGACCCGAAAGAUGGUGAACUAUGCCUGGGCAGGACGAAGCCAGAGGAAACUCUGGUGGAGGUCCGCAGCGGU
rnacentral:rRNA from 1 species